GUGCAUGUAGUUCAGUUGGUUAGAGCGUCAGAUUGUGGUUCUGAAUGUCGUGGGUUCGAGUCCCAUCUUGCACC
rnacentral:tRNA from 2 species